rnacentral:misc_RNA from 1 species
GAUGAAGAACGUAGCGAAAUGCGAUAAGUAAUGUGAAUUGCAGAAUUCAGUGAAUCAUCGAAUCUUUGAACGCACAUUGCGCCCGCCAGCAUUCUGGCGGGCAUGCCUGUUCGAGCGUCAUUUCAACCCUCAAGCUCUGCUUGGUGUUGGGGCCCUACGGUUGACGUAGGCCCUUAGAGGUAGUGGCGGACCCUCUCGGAGCCUCCUUUGCGUAGUAACUAACGUCUCGCAUUGGGAUUCGGAGGGACUCUUGCCGUAAAACCCCCAAAUUUUCUAAUGGUUGACCUCGGAUCAGGUAGGAAUACCCGCUGAACUUAAGCAUAUCAAUAAGCGGAGGA